rnacentral:lncRNA from 1 species
UGUAUGUAUGUAUGUAUGUAUGUAUGUUACAGGGUGGUUAACUUCGCCAGCGGCCCCCUUUCCCGGGGCAGUCCCUGCUCUCCCCUGCUAGAGGGGCACCCUAAUCCGUCACCCCAUCCGACUUCAGAAUGUAUUCGUUGGGUUCGGCAACUCACCACCAGCAUCCAACCAAAUCUAGCGGAUCAACGGCGCAUCAACUUAGUUCCUGGUCAGCUCGCAAGUUGAUAUUAUCACGUCCUACACCGUCCAUAUGAUGGGGGGCCACCUCCCAUUUCAUCACUCCUCAAACACCCGAGGAGCCGGCAGGCAGAUUUGAACCCGGGUCGACUGGGUCGACUGGGUCGACUGGGAGCAGAAGUCAGGCCUUAACCUCUGCCAGCCGCCUGCCAGACUAAGAAGGGCCAACACUGUGUGUGCUCUGCUUAUUAGCAGAAAGGACAACAACAAUGCCUGAUGUCUGAGUGGAGUGGGGACCACUCCACACAUACAUCACCUCAAGAAUUUGUACGGCAUUUCUGCCGUACAAACUGAUGUGUCCUGAGAGGCCAACCAAAUGAUUCACAGGUGUGGUAUGUAUGUAUGUAUGUAUGUAUGUAUGUAUGUAUGUAUGUAUGUAUGUAUGUAUGUAUGUAUGUAUGUAUGUAUGUAUGUAUGUAUGUAUGUAUGUAUGUAUGUAUGUAUGUAUAUGUAAGCAUGUCCGGCCUGCGUCGGUUCCGUCGAAGCGACACGCAGGUGGCAGGUGCGGUACGGUACGGCAACGCACCAACGCAUCUGGCAAUGAGGCGAAUUAGCAAUGGCGGGUGCUCCGUGUGUGUGUGUGUGUGUGUGUAUGUGUGUGUGUGUGCACAUGCGGGCGCGUGCGCAUACACACACAGGUGGCUAAAACUUGCAGUCGGUACCAGACUUAUUGAAUGAUACUAAAUAGGCAAUAAUUCCUUUCCGUGUCGAAGGACAAUAGGAUACUCUAAUCAUAUUCCUUCGGCCUAAUCAAGUACUUUAUUAAUGGACCAAACAAAAAGCUCAUUAAGCGCAAGGUACCGCCAAACACCAGACAUACAGACAUACAUGCAUCGCUCCCAUGCUCCCCCCAGGGGGGCCCCGCUCAGCCCAGGGAACGGGUGCCGUACGAUGCGUCGUACGAUUCCGUAGACUGUGCCACUAAGUCCCUUGUACAACGCCGUACCUUUGGCACUAUCCCUGCCAGCACUAUGUUUGGGUCCAGCGGCAGGGGCACUCGAAGGGCGGUCAGCUCCCCACACGGCCCCGACUCGGAUAUCAUCUCCCGGAGGCGCUCAGUGGCGCGAGCAGCCUUGAUCUAUACCAGUGUGUACGUGUGUAUGUAUGUAUGUAUAUAUGUGUGCGUGUGUUUGUGGGUUCGUUGCGUGAGGGCGGGGCACAAGGGGGGAAGGGGGUAGGGGGUAGUCGUGUGAGAUAUGAAGCAAAUGGUCCAUGGGCGGCCGUUGGCGGUCGUAUCGUCAUUUUCCUUUGCUUCCUGCACAUAACCAACCAACUUACCCCCUGCAACCCGCCAACCCCCACCCCCCACUACCACUACCAACCCCCCACUACCCCCACUACCACCGCCCCUCCCCCCCCCUCCGCCGCACCUUGGCGCUCUUGAGCUCCCGGAUCACCGCCUUGAGCUGCUUCACCAGGUCCACCUGAAUACACACAGCACCGGCACCAGCAGCAGGACAGCAUCCCCCCCACCCCGAACACACACAUACACACCCCGCCGCCCCACGGACAUCAGACGGGCCCUCCCGAUUCAGUGGUGUGGUGUGGUGUGGUGUGUGGUGUGGUGUGUGGUGUGGUGUGUGGUGUGGUGUGUGGUGUGGUGUGUGGUGUGGUGUGUGGUGUGGUGUGUGGUGUGGUGUGUGGUGUGGUGUGUGGUGUGUGGUGUGGUGUGUGGUGUGGUGUGUGGUGUGGUGUGUGGUGUGUGGUGUGGUGUGUGGUGUGGUGUGUGGUGUUCUGUUGUGAGAGGGAUCGAGCAGAGGACCAAACCGACCUGGAAUUAAGCCAAGCACGUACAUGUGUACAUGUGUACAUGUGUGUGUAUGUGCCCUUUACAUCGUGCUCUCUACAUACCUACAUACCGAAUCACUCAGUCCUGUAAUGCAUCGCACCGGCCUCCGGUCAUACACACCACCUCCCGGACCUUUCAAUUAUGACGCCCCUUUCACUUUUUCGGUUGCCCGCCCUCCUGUCGGGCUGUAUCUCCAAAUGCCCUACACACCCAUUCCCCUCCCCCCUCCCCCCUUCGGCCCACCUGUUUCCGAAUGGUGUUCUUCACCGCCAGCCCCACAGGCCCCGCCCGCCGCUCCAGGGCGUCCAGCAGGGAGCUGUGCAGGGCCCGAGCCCGCUGACCGAACCCCGGGUCGUCCAGCUCACAAAACAGGUACCUUGCAUGGGGGGGUUGUGUGCAGGGGUGGGGGUGGGGUGGACAGGGAUGGGCAGGAUAGGUGGUGCUUAUGGCCGACGUGAAACGUGGUUAGGAAAGAGGACCGGCACACAUCUGGGGGGGGAAGAGCCAGGAUACAUGCCAGUACGGUAGGGUAUUAUCAUAACAGGACGGCCGUACAAACACCCCCCGCCCCCCUCCCCUCUCCUCUCCCCCCUCAGCCCCCCCCCCACCAGUGCAGCUGUAUCGCCAGCGCGGGGUCCUCCGCCGCCCGGGCCACCAGGAAGCUGGCCAGCCUGGAGCCGUCCGCCGCCUCGUAGCGGAGGGCCUGGACCAGCUGUAGCAGGUACUGGCUGAGCUCGUCGGGGUCGUGAGUCUGAAGGGGGGAGGGAGCGGGGAAUCAACUGCCGACGCGUCCCGAGUAUCAACCACUAGGGAAGGGGAAGGAGAGGAAGGAGGAGGAGGGGGGCCAGGAGGACGACGACAGCGGGAGCUGGCGGAAGGGGGGAAGGAUAUCGGGAGUUGGUGAGGAUAUGUCAAAAAGACCGUCCCGACUCGAACCAGACACGACACGACAUGGCACAACCCAAAUGGGAAGGGUAGUCACGCGUACGUACACACACACAUACAUACACAUACAUACAUACAUACAUACACAUACAUACAUACAUACAUACAUACAUACAUACAUACAUACACACACAUACAUACAUACAGGGGAAGGUGGGGAGCAGAGGGGAGGAGGCAGCUGCAGUAACACGUCACAGCCGCACCUGGUUAGUUCCCUCCCAACUCCAACAGAAACGUCCUAAACAGGACACCCCCUACCCUACCCUACCCUACCCUGGGUGCCCCCACACUACCUGCCAGCCCCACCCCGCACCGCCUCUCCUCUACCUCUACCUCUACCUGCAGCGCCUUCACUGCAUGCUCCCGCACCACCUCAGCCCUGAAGUCCGGGGACAGGAGCUCCAGAGCGUCAGCGGCGCUGAUGGGGGCCCAUUGCCGCAUCAGCUCGGCAGCCUGGGAGGAACAGGAGGGGGGCCGGGAGGGGAGGGGAGGCGAGGGAGAGACGAACCACGAACGAGUGAAGCUGCUGCCAAGGAGCAAAACUGACCAGUAGGCGUUCUUGAAGGCGGCGACCUCGGGAUGAUGUGAUGAAGACGACCGCGGAAACCUACCUACCUACCUAGCCGCCAAGACUAAAGUAAGAGCGGAAGAAAAGUAUUAGAAUGAAUCCGUAAGGAAGUAGUAAAGGUAGGUGUAGAGGCGGAAAAAAAAGGGAGAGGAAGGGAGAGGGGGAGCUAAACCCAAGGACUGAGGGGUCCAUUGUCACUGCAUCCAACACAGGGGUACACGGAGGGAGCUUAAAAAAAGGGGGUGGGGUAAAGAAGGGCCGUGAUGACCGACAGACCCUUGGGAGGGUACUGGUACGGGGGAGACACAAGUUGGGUAGCCUGGGGUUGGGAGUUGGGGGUGCAUGCUUUAUGCAAUCUCUCCCCCCCCCCGGCCGGCCGGCAACUUCACCUGCUUGGCCUCCGCCGCGUCGCUCCAGUCCACACAUUGCAGGAACUUGGUCAGGGCCCGGGUGUCGGCGGUGAGGGAGGCACGGAAGCGCCACAGCAGUGCCCGCUCCUCCGCAUGGAGCGGCUUGUUGGGGGGCAGCUUCAAUAUGGCCUAUAUGUGUGUGUGCGUGUGUGAGCAUGUGUUGCGAGGAGGAAAAGCGGGUUGCGUGAUUUUCUGUGGUAAUUUUCGGAACAAAUAUUAAAUACACAUAUAUAUGGGGAAUAAUUCUUUACGUCGAAAGGAAGAGAAAAGGGCAGAGGAAGAUGGCUUAACGAGGGUAACGAGAACAGGAGGUGCACACAUGCAUUUCUGCCGCUGGUAAGGUGUUGUCGUCUGGCGUAGCUUUUUAGCUGUGGAUACGUCCAGAUGCAGCCGGACAGCCCCAGGCGCUGCUCAUUGCUAAGCCCACCGCUUCGCGACCCCCCCAUGCUUUGUACACGGCGAUGCGGUAACAGCAACAUCGACCGCAAUCCGUUCACCAGUGCAGGUGCAGACGAGGAAUCCAUAGGUGCAGGUGUGUCCGUCUGUCUGUCUGUCUGUCUGAUUGUCUAUCUGUCUUUCUAUCGUUCUGUCUGUCUGUCUGUCUCAGUGUUCAAAUUCCCGGGGAGAGUGGGUUGCAGUGUUACCAAGGGCGGCUGGCGGAACUCCCUGUUCCUCCCCCUCCCUAACUCCCCCUCCUCCCCCCCCUGCUGCCUCACCUGCAGUUUCUUCCUCUCCUCGCUGUUGGGUUUGAGGUCCCUGUCCAGCACGCCCCGCUGCAGCCCCCGAGCCAGCUUCUGAGCCUUCAGCUCCGCGGGGUUGUCACGGCCCACCUGAUGUGUAUUUGUGUGUGUGUGUGUGUGUGACGGCGGUGGUGGUGGUGGUGGUGGUGGUGGUGAGGCGGCCCAGGGUGGUGUGGAGGGGGGUUAUGGAGGAGGGAAGGAAACGCCGCACAAAGCAAGAAGAGAAAGGGGGCGCGAACGUCCGAAGCACCGAUUGGUGUUUACGUCCCCAGCUGUGACGCAACCCCGUGAACUGCGUUAAGGCGGCGAAGGGGAGACCCCGGUUGGCUGUGUGGACCAGCCGUUGGGCUGCAGCCACCCGGAGCACCCCAGGGUGGGGAGCUAUAAUAAGGCAGGCAGAUAGGUGGAUAGAGCUACCGGUCGGUCAGUAGUGCCCAGGAAGCACGGUAAACACGCCAAAGACCUCCGGGACCUACAUACAUACAUACAUACAUACAUACAUUCAAGCAUGGUCACCCCCUCAUCAUCACCUCCGGGUCCAGCAACCGAAUGAUGCCACCGCCACCGCCUCCGCCGCCACUGCCGGUGGUGGUGGUGGCGGUGGUGCCGCUGGUGGCGAUGCCCAUGGGGCCCCCUGGACCACCGGCCCCUGGUUCCGUGGAGAGCAGGGAGCCUGGCUUUCGAAGGCGCCAUGAGGGAGGUGUAGGGGGGGGGAGAUUGGAGGGGUUGUUAAGGAACUGGCGGGGGGAAGGGGGUUCAGAGGUACCUCUACUGACGUCAGCAACGGCAACAGUUACACAACAAACCACCUCAACGCCCACCCGGUCGAUGUGAAGGGGUUACAAUUCCAAUAUUAACAGAUCUGAAAACACCAACACACGACUCACCCACUCCGCCUUCCCACCUACCUGGCGGUGGAACGUCCUUCUUGCCAGCAGUCAUCGCAGGGGGCAGCGCUGCGCCGCCGCUGCCGCCAGGCGCCGCCGUAGCUGCUGCUGCCGCCGUGUACAACGCAUGCUGGUACGACAGCACUGGGUACGGAAACAUCGGUAGUACGACAGUUAGCCGCAGCUCCGGGCGAGUGAGCCAGGCCUCCCGGUCCAGCUGGGAUAACCGCCUGAUCUCCUGAGCGAGAGGCCGGGGGCCGCCCAAAAGUACGGGAUGUAGCGGUUGUGACAGUUAUGACGGUUGCAAAGUUAUAGUUCCGUGAGCAGACGCAACUGCUGCAGCAGCAGCUGCUGCUACCGCACGACUCCAACUCUCGAAUGCCCUCUGGUCCACAUAAACACGCAGAAACCCUAACACGGUGUACUACAGCAAUCAGCAGUUCCGGUCCUGCUUCCUCCCCGCUCCCUGUGUGACAACGCGAGCCACGGGACCUGCCGUACACCUGCUCCCACCUUUCCGGCCCUCUGCCUACGGAGGGCCCCCGCCCCCCCCCCUUACCUAGCGCCUUUCCUCAGCCCGGGGGGUUCCCAUCGGGAUAUCUGGGCACACACAUCCACCUGGCUUACUAACCCCGACUGCCGAAUCUGUAGCGCCUUUCCAUCUCCCAGGGUCCCCCGCAAAACACAUACAUACAUAAUACAUACAUACAUACAUACAUACACACGUACAUACUCACCCCCAAUGUGAGCGCGUCCAGCCAAUCCCCCCCUGGCGCCAUCUCCCCCCUCUGCAGCCGACCCAGAAGGUGCUCCAGGCGACCCAGCCGGUCGCGGUGAGCCAGCGGAACCUGUGUUAUGAGGGCCGGGGGGAGAAAGGGGUGGUGAGGGAGGGGAGAAGUGGGGAGGAGGUCGAGGGAUUAAGACGGCGGGCGGGAGUUAGGGGCCCCCCGAUCCCCAACCCCAACCCCAACGCCCCUUCCGCCCUUCCAACCGCGUUGUACCCUCACCUUGCCGGGGGUGUUGGAUGGGAAGGCGGUGCAGGGGGGCACUCCCUCCCACACCCUCAGCCUCUGAGGCCCCGUCUUCAGGCGUCCCCGCUUACUGAACAGCGGCAUCACCGUGGACCCCACCAGCGCCUCCCCCCGGCCCUCUGUCACCUCCACCACCAUCAGGGCCAGCUGGGCGUCCACGGGGAGGUCGCGGUACUGCAGGCGGGUUUGGUACGGUGGUACGGCGCGGUGUACGAGGACGGCAUACUGGUGGUUGUAGCAUCCCCCUCAGGGGUUGAUUGCAUAUGGACAUCCCUUUUUGCUAGCCGGUGAGCCCGGUGAGCCCGGUGCGUGUGGGUGUGUGGUCGUGUGGUUGUGUGGUUGUGUGGUUGGGUGGGUGGUGGUGGCCGGUAGCGGAUAAGUGCGGGGAUGGUUCCCUAGGGCUGAAGGGUGGGGAAGACGAACCACGAACGAGUGAAGCUGCUGCCAGGGCAAGAGUGGACCAGAAGUAAAACUGACCAAAAGGCGUUUUUGAAGGGGGGGCAGGAGUUCGAUUGGUGGUGGUGGUGGCGGUGGCCUGGUUGAGGAGGAAAGGAAUGAGGUAACGAAAAACUGCAGAAGGGCCUUGCAUCCAAUGCGUUGAUACGGCCCCUGCGCUAGCUCCCCCCCCGGGUAGCAGGAGGCGGGUGGUGCUUCUGGACCCGUACCCGGCUGUUGCGACCCACACCGCUGCGACCCGCAACACGCGCCACAGAGCCACAUCUCUCGCGCUCACAUGACACACACGCGGGCAUUCCCCCCUCUCCGCCGCUGCAGCUGCUACGCCUGAUGCUCCUGCCGCUCUUCCCCCUGUACCUUGAUGCAGAACGUCAGCCACUCGUCCCAGCGCGCUGUGGUGUCGUACCCGCUAGCCGCCGCCGCCGCCACUGGUCCAGCACCCCGCCCUCCCCCUCCCCCUCCUCCUCCUCCGCCAGCACUGCCAGGAUUCUGCAGCGGCUCGGGAGCAAAGCCGCCGCCAACGGCACCCUUCCCAGGGGCUCCGGCAACAGCACCCCAGGGGGCCCCCGCCGGCGGCGGCGGCGGCCCCCUGACGCUGACGGCUGCAGGGCAUCUCGCCACUGCAUAACCUGUCUCCAUCUCCAGCCCCAGCGUGUCAUUACAUGAUGUCAGCCAUGCCGUGACGUAAAGCGCGUUGCUGCUGCUGCUGCCUCCGCCAGCGGCCGCAGCCGUAUUGCCGUUACCGCCGCUAGAGGAUCUCGUCGCUGCAGCCGCGUUUCCCGGGCUGCUGUUGCAGGUGGCGGUAGCGUUGGCGCCGACGGCGGCUUGGGAGGCGGAGGUACGCACCCUGACGGCGUCGUGACCUAACGGGGUGGUACGGUCCCCAAAGAGAGCUAGAGCUCCCCCGGAGCCAGACAGGUGGGAACGGGCGGACGGGAGGAGUCCCUGGAGCUCCGAAACCUUCACACGGACCUGCAGGUUGAUGUCGCAGCUGACGUAGAAGGAGAACUGGCCUGCGCUGCGGUUGGGGCCGGCUGCGGCCCCGCGGGCUGGCGGAGCAGAGCCCCACAUCGCCGCGGAGGCCGCAGGGAGCGCAAUAGAUGGGUUGAUCUAGAGCGCCUGGAGGUGGGGAAGAUGGUCCCUCGGGGGGUGAUAAGUCAAAGAUGGAUGGAAGUGCGCGUGUGGGAACGGGCUGCAGAUGGCAUACGCUGGCGUAUUUAAACGUCUGCAAAUUUUGCUCGUACAGGACUUAGCUCUGAAGAGGAAAGUAGCUGGGUAAUGCAAGGUAAUGGUUGCCGUGAAAAAAUCUUAUGGGCCGCGAAGAGGGCUGGAAGCGAGGGUGACUGACGUGUGUUUUUAAAGCGUUGAUGACUAGCGUACGCAAGGAAGUACUCCGGGGUCUUGCCCUCUCGUCAAGUCAAUUCUGCGCAUCGUACUACCCGUACCCGUAUAGAACGUUUCUUCGCUCACAAUCUAGCUUCUACCUGGCAUUCUCAAAUUCGUUAUUUGGAGACACUCAGCCUGCCUUGUCAAUUGUUUUGUGGCUAAUAAUACCCGGGAAAGGGAAUGGCUUUCCUUUAUAAUUACGAUGAGGAGGCAGGGCUUUUGGGCGCUAAAGACGCUUAUGCGUUUGCGUUUGCUGAACGCGAAGUGCGGCAAGGCUUUGUGCGGAAGGUCCUAGGUGAGCAUCGCUCUGGCGUCUUCUCCAAGCUUCGUAAUUCCGUGUCGGAGCAGCUUGCCUGCGUUCCUGUUUUUCACCAUGAGUAGAGAGCCUUCAGGCGUAUAUCGACAAGUUAAAUAAUUUGCUCAUGGCUACGGGACCUGCGCCAUCAGACCGGAUUAAGUUUAGGACUGGACUGACGUUGAGGACGGCCGUUUCCGCAAUUUACAGGAUCUUUCCCUGGCGCUACCUUAGUUGUCUCUCGCAAUUGGGAAUUCUGCCUCGUCCUGCGGCCCCCAUAAGCUCUGGCAUUGCCAUAUUACGCAAAGUGUACUUCCCAUCCCACGACACUUUCUUUUUCUCCAGGCCUCCUGGGCGUCCAGCUGCUAAUCACCGCCGCCGUGACGGCUCUCUUUAUCUUCUCUCAGCCCGUCAAAACCUACGUAUUCACCGCACAAUGGCCAUUCUGGACCGCCUUCGCUGUAUCUCUGGUCCUCAUCCUGGCGCUCAGCUUCUCCGAGUCCCUGCGCCGCAACCACCCACUCAAUCUCUUUGUUCUGGCGGGCUUCACGCUGUGUGAGGCAAUGCUGGUCGGUACCGUGUCCGCCAUGUACGACACUAAGGUCGUCCUGCUGGCGGUUGGCAUCACUACAGGUACGAAUUCAUACGGCGAGCUGAAAUUACAAUACUAGACUGUUUAUUAAACGGCGAACUGGGUCAGUAACCGUCGGCUUGCUCCCCAAAUCUGGACCCUGCGCGUUACACCUCUCCCCCGCUGUCUCGCACUGCUCCCCAGCGCAAUGUCGCAUUGCUCUUUUUCUCUCGACCAUUAUCCCAAUCCAUCCCCUCCCGUUUUUCUCAGAGCCUUUGUUCUUUCCCUUCCCUGCCCUUUUCCUUUUCAGCUGUGGUUCUGGGCUGUGCGCUGUUCGCCACCCAGUCCCGAGUGGACCUCACAAUGGCCAACGGCUUCCUCAUGUCGCUGCUGCUGGCGGUGUUCACCGCGUCGCUGCUGAACCUGGUCAUUCGGGCUCCCUGGCUGUAUGUGGGCAUCUGCAUUGCGGGGGUGGUGCUCUUCUCGCUGUACCUCGUCUUCGACCUUCAGGUCGGUUCGGUUUGUAGGAGGGGAUGGUUGGGAUGGUUGGGAUGGGUGGGUGGAUGGAUGGGUGGGUGGGAUCCUGCACUUUCUCGUUAGUGCGAAACACCGGGAAAUGGGUUAUGAAUUGGGGGAGCGUAGCGUGAGGGGCCGCUGGUGGCCAUGGCGUGGCUUUUUCCCCUUGUCACAGUCCCCUCUCCUGCUGGCCCCCAUGUCCCCCUCCCCCACCCCACCCCUCCGCAGCUGCUCAUGGGCGGCCAUAAGUACGCGCUCUCACCGGACGAGUACGUCUUCGCCGCCCUGUCCCUGUACCUGGACAUCAUCAACAUCUUCCUCUACCUGCUGCAGCUGCUGGGCAGCCAAGACAGGAGCUGAGAUGAGCUAAGACCCAAACGGGCCGAGCCGGGCUGGGCUGGCGGGAGAGCCCUAGGUGGCAUCUGACCUGGGCUGAGGAGCCCACUGGGACCCGCCUGAGGGGCCCAAGAAGGCUAGGGGGUUAGGAACUAAAGAGGCAGGAGUCGUGCUCGUAGGGGAAUCGGAGUCUGGAUUUGUUUGUCCUGGCUAGUCGGAGGUCCGAUCGUGUAGGUUAGGGGGAGGUCGAUAAAUUCGUCCGGGGGUGAGGUAGCGAAGUAGGAGCAGUGCGUUUGUGGGCUAGCCAGCAGGUGGGCUAGCCAUGCACGCAUGUGCGGACAUGGCUGCCGAAGCGCGCUGGGAGAGAGAGAGAGAGGGAGGGAGUUUUGUUGGAACAUAGAACCGGAGAGCGGAUAUGAAUACAUGCGGGUGUAUUGUGGUCAGAUUUUCUGCAAUUCUGGAAGUUGGGUUUCGGUGCGGCUGGUGCUUUCCGAAUGGCGGAGCAACAGGAUUAGGGAGGGCAAAUGUGUGCGGUGAGAGUCUCGGAUGGUUUAGGAGCUGUGACCUGUGGCGGCCGGGGGCCUGUCGUCCUGCUGCAUCGGGUGGGCUCAGUGGACCGCCCACGCCGUCCUCUUCGCCAUGGGCGACGCGUCGCGAUAAUGCAAUUGACGAACGGAUUUUCGUGUACCCAGGAGGCCGCCACCCCCGCCGCGGCGCUCCGACCCUGCCGCGGCCCGGCCCCUGCCGCCGCUGCUGUCGCCGAAGGAGAGCCAGCCAGAUCCCUCGGCCCCCGGAUGGCUUUAGGAAGUUGUUGCCGCAGUGAUGGACGUGCUCGUGUUCGCAGGAGCGCGUGUGUCUGUGUUGUACUUUAUGCUGUACUUUAUAGUGUGUGGGGGGGGGCCGGGGCGCUCUUUUUUCCUUGACGCCGGAUAGAGGAAGGUAGCUGCCGAACAAGGGACUAAAAGGCGGGGAGAUGGAAAAGCAUUGCAGGUUGCAAGAGCCAUUGCGAUUGCCUUCAUCACAGCAUUGCAUCAUGAGUUGGGUAUUAUGGUUGGAGAGAAAGGUCGAGGUUGGCCUGGCAGGCAGGCGGGUAGGUGCAGCUCUAUUGCGUUUCUUGGAGUCGGGGUGCCGGAUGUGAUUGGGGGGGCUCAUGGCAGGUGCACGAUGGAGUUCCCCCGCUGGGGCUCCCCCCCGCUGCUGAGGGGGCUGCGGCGCGUUAAAGGGAAAGUUGGAAGGAUGCUUUUGCACUUUUAAGAACUUCUCUACCUUCGGACGAUAUUAGGAUGAGUAUGGAUCGUGGAGUGGCGGCACUGAACCACGCUGUCGACAGUUUUGUUGUUCUUGUGGUUGGGGCCGCCGCAGGUGGGCUGCAGUUUGCUGCUGCUGCUGCUGCUGCUGCUGCUGCCGUCUUGGCUGAACUUCAAAAGGUGACAGGAAGGGGAGGAGACUAGGGCAUCGUGGGAGGCCUGUUGGGGGACAACCUUGAUGCUGUCUCAGCAACGCUAGGAUUCGCUGAAUUGCAUUAUGUGGUAUCAAUUCAUCUCACCUGAUCCCUCAGCGGCGGGAAAUCAGAACUGCACGGCUACAAGUUUCCUCCGUUGUUUGGAAAGGGUUUGCAGUGCAGCACCAAGAAAUAAUGGUGCGAUCCAUCCCGCGGCUGGGCAGCGAUAGAUGGGUGGUCACUUCAAAAGCCGGCAGCACCUGUCGUUGUACAACCAUGUGUUGCACAACCAAGGCAUAAAGCUUUAUAAAACCCCAACUCUUAACUUUCCUCCGCACAUAUCCUCCACGCCUGCUGCUCCCCAAUCCCCUCCUCCUCCUCCAACCCCACCUCCUCCACAUCAUCAUCAUCAUCAUCAUCAUCAUCACUCUCACCACCUCCUCCUUCACAUCCUUCACCUAUGCCGAGGGAGACAGCGCCACCUUGCGGCCCCUGUGCGGUGUCGCCAGCUCCUGGAAGGCCUCCCGCCAGAGGUCCAGAGGGAAGGCCACCACAGCGGGGGGCCGCAGACUGCCGGACCGGUACAUUUGCACGAUGCGGUCCAGGGCGGCCGCCUUGCCAGCCGGGCCUUGCGCCUGAGACCACCUGAGGUGGGGGUGACGAGUUUAGCAAGGACUUGGUAAGGGGUAAGGAGUCCAAGCAAGGGCUCAGGAAGCCGGGAUGCGGCCGGAGAGGGCUAAGAGGUGCGCAAAGAUGCAGGCGGGGGUGGUAAAGGAUGUUGGGACGUGAAAACGGACGCCACAAGACAAGCGGCGCGUCAAGGGUGUGUGGACGGGAUUUUUACGAACCGGACAUGAAGCAGUAAAAACAGGAACCAAGCAGGGCAAGGCGACUCCUCCCGAUACGUAACAUGAGAGGCACACCGAAUGUUACGGCAGGUGCACGACCAGGGAAUUAUUAUGUUUGACGGAGCGGUGGCUGGUCACGCGGUUGGCUGGGUUUCACACCCGAGUCCACCACACAUACUUGCCUCUCGCCCGGCCGCCCCUCACCUGCCCGUGAGCCAGAACCCGCGGAAGGAGAUGUCCUUGAAAAUCAUGGCGGCGGUUGGCGCGGUCACGGGUUGCAUGGACAUGCCGCCGUACGUCACCAGCGUGCCGCCAUCCCUGGUGGGGUGUACGAUACAGACGCGGUACAGCUGGAUCCGUACGGUGAACAGCGGAGCAGCAGCGGGGUCCGGGAGGUCCGCGGGGGGCCCAGUUGUGUUCCCCCAAGAUAAAACACGUCAAUACGGGUUACACCCGAACCCUUCAUACGACCUUACAAAUCCGUUUCCGGCCGUUUUCUUGAAACGCUGCGGCAGGCAGGCAGGUGCACGAUGUGGGUUUCCCCUGGCAUCCCCCUCCCCAGCUACAUGAAUUCGAGCAAGGGGAGCAUUUAUCACCCCCGCCCCGCCACCCCNNNNNNNNNNNNNNNNNNNNNNNNNNNNNNNNNNNNNNNNNNNNNNNNNNNGACGGGGGGUUGGAGGGCGGGGAUUGCGGAGUAGGUGGAGAUGGAGGUGGAGGCAGGUUACAGGUUGAAAGUCUAGGAUGGCUUUGGGGUGGAGGAGGAAAAUCAUCACAGGCUGAAGCCAGAGAGACAGAGACAGGCAGCUAGGGCGAGCUGGGUGGGUGGGCAAUCAUGGCGGCUUUCCAGGUGACAUUGGAUGCGCCAAGCCUGGAGAAGCAUGGACAGACAGACAGACAGGUCGUUUCCGCCUUGUACAGGCUAUGUGAACGACUGAGGUACAGGGUGCGCACUCCACGGCGGGGUUGUACGGCUGUACGGAGUGUCCGAUGGGGAAGAGGCUCAAUGUGUACGACAUGCCUUGCGUAACGUUUCGACUCACUCAGAUCAUCCUUCAGUCGCUCCUCCGUGGUGAUCAGAUCCGCCCCUAGGUCUCGGAGCCGAGCCACCGUGGCCUCCAUGUCGGGCCUUAUGUGGCCCCGGGGGGAUGGGGGGCGGGAAACAUGCACACACACACGCACACGGGCAAACAUGCGUAUGCACACAUUUGGAUGUCCUCCUGGUACGAAUGUAUGUAUGUAUGUAUGUAUCUGUGUGUUUGGGCAUGUCUUGGAUGUGAAUAAACGAGGCGAGUGCCCAGAGGGGGCGAGCGCAGCAUUGAUGACUCUUCGCGCCAAGGACCCCCGCUUAACCUUCUGGACCUUCCGUACAGUCUUCGCUGUUGCCGUACUUGAGCUGUGAAGCGCGGCACCAACCCCACUACUUUUCCUUCUUCUUUCCCCUGAGCGGAUUUGAAAACCCCACGGACCCCCCCAUACUCAUAUUCACCCCCAUACACCCGCCCAAACACAGAUGGCCCCCGGUCACACAUCCUAUUUAAUCCUAUCCAACACAAGCCAUAAGCCCCAAGUAAUUGUCGUACCUCUGCCGUAUGAUGUUGAUAGUACGGAGGCCCUUUGCUCGCGCGAUUUGAAUAACGGCCUGUGCGAGGAAAGGGAUGUUUGUGUGGGGGAGAGAGAAGAAGGCCCAUGUUGGCACGGGGCGACUGCCCGCGGCGUGUGUGUGUGUGUGUGGGGGGGGGGAGUUGCGGAUUUAAGGCAGGAAGUCCGAAACACGCAAACCCUGUCUACGGCAAGGUGCCCGGGGCCCCCGGGAAGGGUCUCGCCAGACCCUGAGGCCAUCACACGCAGUCCAGCCGGGAGCGGGAGUUCCUCCGCGCCAGAGCUUCCGCUGGGCUUUCUCUUACCCCCCCCCCGCGGGAACCUCUCCUCUCACCUCCCCCACUGCACUUGUAGCCCCGUUCUGAGCCACCGUGUCGCCGGGCUUCAUAUCCACGAAAUUCUCCAACAUCGCCAAAGCGGUUGGGGGGCUUGGAAAGGGUGUGGAGAGGGGAGAGGAGGGGAGGGGAGGCAGGGAGGGUGAGAACAUAUACGGGGGUGGGAAAAGGGGAGGCGAGGGGGAAACACCCUGAUGGGGUGUGUGCAGCCCUUCCCUAAGUCCCAGAGAAAGACUGCCGGGGACGUCCAAAGCCGCCGCAAACUGCUCUACAGCUUCCAAGCUGCAACCGGCGGCCAGUACUGGGCGGCGGUGGGGCGGACCGGGCCGGAGCACAGCUGCCGUGUAACUCCGUGACCCCAUGGCGAUUAUCGAGGAGUACGGCAAUUGAAUAGACGCGGCAUCAGAAUUUUCAGGACGAUGAUAUCCAUCCCUGCCCCGGGUCCCCCGUACCCCCCGCGUCCUCCCGGCAGUGUCUCCUUUUCCCGUCCCCUCCUUUCCCCCUUUCCUUAUCCCCUCCCCCCCCUCUCUCUCCCCCCCGUCACACCGGCAGUUCACUUCCCACUUUCUCCCUCAUAUGAUGACCCCCUCCCCCAACUCUCACUUGAUAACCAGAGUAGAUGCGGACUCCAGCCCGAUGUCCUGAGGCACUCGGUGCCAGUGGGCGCGAGGGAAGAUGCCGCCGCUGCGCCAGGUGCCCUGGGCGGGAGCUAGCGGGACCACCCAGUCGCCGGGGGAGAGCUCCGAAACCUAGGAGGAGGAAGGCGGAAUAGAUUUGUGGGAACGCAGACCGUACCGAGCCGUUACCGUACAGUGCCGUACCUCAGGCCCCACAGCCAGCACCUCCGCCACGCCUUCAUGCCCGGGCACUGCUCCGGGGAGGGCCGGCUGGAUGGGGUACUUGCCCUGAACCGUGUUGACGUCGGAGGGGUUUAUGGGCGACUGGAAUGGAGAGGGGGUAAGGAAGGGGGGAGGAAGCGGGGGGAAGGGAGGGAAUUAUCUGUCUUCUCAAAAAAACUUUGGCCGACGUGCCAAGAUGAAGGGACUGCCCAAUAUACCUAAUACCACCGCAUCCCGGCAACCCCCUUCGAAAAGAAGGCCAACACCUCCAAGAGCCAGUUUCACACCUGCAAAAAACGCAGGUGCACCUCCCCUGGACCACACUCGCGCAAGGCUGGUAAAUUUCGGAGCUCCAGUACGUCCAAGGGCUCCCCGGGCUUGUCGUACACCAGCGCGCGUGGGGUUGCAGAGGAGUAGGGUAGGGUAGGGGCGCUUCCAGGGCUGCUGGUUGCCAUGGGUUGGGUGAAUGUUUGGGGUGAGCGCGGGCGGGCGUAGUUUGGUGUGUAAGGCGGGGGAAAGAGUCGCGAGGACGCGAGGCUGAGAAAAUGGCGCUGCUGGUAAGUGCGCUGGCACGUGAGCGCUGAGCCCAGUUGAGGUAUGUUUUUGAGAGUUUUAAGCAUCAGCGAGAAAUGAGGAAUCGCACUAAGGGGUCCGGAAAGUGCGAAGCCGAGCCCAAAGACCGCAGAGGAAAAUAUGAUUUUUUUGCGAUACUCACAACUUUAUAUUGCUGAAUAAUUUUGUCUUGAUGGCAACAUAAGUUAAUUGCGUUAUCUUAUUGGGAGCAAAACUGUUUGUUCCGAUGCGUUACGGCUGGCCUGACGUACACCAUCGGGGACAUGACAAGCCCAGAGCUGCGAAUUUUGCACAAAAUGCUGUUUGAGAACAAUUCGUACGAUUUGGAACAUUUGAUACAGACUUGAGCGCUUACGCCAAGCUGUAGUUCGUAACCGCCAACCGCAACACCCAGUGCUGAGAGCUCGGGACCUUUGGAUGCCCUGCCUGCCUAGCAACCAACGGAGGCCAACACGCAGUUAAGAUCAAGAAUGCUGGAAAAAAGUACCUCCAUUGGUAUAGCAAAGCUAGCUUGCCAGGAGGGGGGAAUGUAUGGAGGAAUGGAGAGAGGGAGGGAGGGACGUAAGAGGGGAGGGAUACAGCUCUUGAAAUGCUGCAUAGCAUCCUCCUCUUCCUCCAUGAAGGCAGCACAUGACCCCCUGUGUCAAGAAGCUGGCUUUCACCAUGUGGACUAAACAUGUUUACAUCGGAACGCCUAACCUGGAGAUACGAGAAAUACCGCAGCGUUUUUUUGGAUUCGAGCUACGAUGUCGCCUUUUCGAGCCCACACAUUUUACAAUAUUACCUGCCAAUCCUCGUAUACACUUCAACCUGCCAUCUGCAUAUGCACCUGUUCACCAUUAAUACUUAUCGCAUACUCUCGGAUGGAAAUCAAAUCCCUGCAACAGCAGGGGCGCUCGGGCCCUAUCCCCCAGACCCCAAACAGCUGCCGCUCUUCUCUUCAGUGACCCUCUCUCUCCCCACAUCAUGCAGCACCGUGUUCCCACGCUACGACUUUUCCAUGGAUCCUGUCUUGACAUUGACUGUUGCGUCCACUCCACCCACACCCCGGACUGGCACCGCGGCACGGGAAUGUCACACUACACCUCGCCCCAGCGACCACCACAACUGCCACAACCAUGCAAGGCUGCUCUCCCAUUGUUCGCGUGUACGCAGGGCAGAGACCCACCGGCCUGACACGGGAAUCUGUGGCGCGAGGAAAACCCAAAUAAAAAGCCCCAAUCCAGCAGCAGCUUCUGAAGAGACCCCCCCGGCAAGGGAAACUGAGCUAAGGCUCCUCUCACCCUCCUUCCUUCCUUUACACUGUACAAAUUGUACAAUACCGCCGCUCCCGAGUUGCAUUGAAAGGGGGGGGCCCCAUUUCGGGCGCCUUGACACCCCCAGGUGCAACGUAAAAGCGAAACGCAACCCUUCACAACCUCCGGUGUCGCCCUGGGAAUGAGAAAUAAGAGCCCCCUCAGGGCAGGGAAUCUAAUAGAGCAUCAUCAAGCGUCAUGAUAUACAACAACAGCCAUUGUUUUGCCUGCUUUUGAUUACAAUUUACCUCUCCUAAUACGAAUACUCAGCCUUGCACCCUCGGCCUGGUACGCAGUCAGUUGGGGGCAUGAGGCAUCCUAUACCUGCCAAAAGGCAGGUCAUGAAACACGUCUGCUAGUGCUAGUGCUGCUGCUGCUGGUACGCUUCGCAGCUGGGCCAGACAUUCCUCAACGGUGCCUCGAAAGGGAGCUCGGUGUUCUCCCGUUCUUCCUUACAACCAUACAGACAUGCACACAUGCCAGGAGAGGGAGGCGCAUACAGCCCCGGAGCCGCCGCCGCUCCCUCUUUUCCUCUCUCUCCUGCUGCCCCUCUCUCCCGCACUUGAAGCUCGCAGCCUCUCGCCUCGGUGUCACCUGGCUAGGCCGCUAACUGCAAAAGAAGUCACAUGGGGCCCUCACACCCGACCCCACCCCAACAGCUUUGGCUGGGGCAGAUAGAGCCCUAUGGAGCCCUUUGCCCCCGUGUACACCAUGUACUGCAGAAAAACAUCGAAUGCCGCCGUCGUCAGGAGCCAUCAUCCCCAUCGCGCAGUGGUCUUCCCUCCGCACCGCCCUCCUCCUUCUCCUCCUCCUGCUCUGUAGUCUCCUGUCCUGCCCGGGUUGUGGCAAAAUGGCCCUCCUCCUUUCGGCGCUCAAUCCACACUCGUCCCACAAGCUCCGAAACCCCUUGAUGCCACGCCAUGUCACACCACACUAAGCACCUGCUGCGCAAAAUUUGGAUCGACGUCCCAGCCGAGCGAUGUACACACAGCAUCUGCCCCUCGCUGAGAAAACUGGUACCCCGCCUUCGUGCCCUGCAGCGCCUGACAUUCUCUCCUUCUUCUCACCCGCCGCCGCCGCCCUAUUGGCGAACCCUGUAGUAAAAAGGAACUCCACAUCCCCCAAAGAUAAAGCCCGCUUGGGUUAGAAAAUCAAAUCAAAUGAAAUUCAGUGCCGUACCUUACCAUAAAGCAAACCAUUCCAUGGGCUUGUCUUUGUGACACUUACUUGAAUCAUAUUGUGUGUCGCAGUGCAAAGUGUACCCUGUACUACAUGUGUAGGAAAAAGUCUUUCCGUACUUCCGUACACUUUCCAGCCCUAAGGGGAAUCCAGUGUCGCACUGCGUCCCCAACCAACCGGGAAAGAGAGAACCACACCAACCGACCGACCGACCGACACGGCGUGUGCCAGCUCUCACGUGUUCCUCUGAGAGCUCUCCCCCGGACCCCCUUACACAUACGUGCACGCGCAAAGGUACCCCUCAAGAGGACACUCGUCAUUUUUGUCUGAUGCUUGCAGGCCUCCGGAUUAGAGAGGGUGCUCACGCCCAAACCAAUCAUGGCCCGCGAGAAGCGUCGGUGCAGGCGCUAGGUGAUAAACCCUAAGCCAGCAAGAUGCCGCCGGUGCUUAGAAUGCCGCCAAGUGCGGCGCACUAGGGCGAUGUCGGUUAAGAAAAGGUCACCGUUCCAAACCCCAGACCCCACUCCACCCUACCCCACCUAACUUAAACCCCUCCCCGCUCUUUUACCCCCCCUCCCCUUCUAUCAAUUUCACUUUGUCUCUCUACUACCACGCGCUUAUACCAACACGGAUGCAUCGAGAAGGACGGACACACAGACGAACUCGAAGUCAUUCAGGAGGUCGCAAGACGUGGUUGCGGAAAACGGCCCUGGGGACCGGCACGCAACAUUAGAUGGGGGUAGCAGCACCACAUUCUGGCCACGCGGCUUUGCUCUAAGCGAUCUAUUAUUUAUCCCCAAUAUUCUACAAUAUUAGCACCAAACGCAAAUUCCUGCUCCCCCCCCCACAAACACACAUAGCUCAGCUGUAUACACACACAAACAAGAAAAGCACGCGCCUGCAAAACACACGCAACGGGGUAGGGCGACCGAUGCGCUUUCCCCCGCCCCGACCGACCCCUCUGCCGCGUUUUCUCUACAAAGUCUCGAAAUGGAUGAAAUGCGCUGUUCAGGACUCCCUCUCUGCACCGCUCUCCAUUGUGAAGUGCGCACUGCAACAAUAGCCACGCCCAUACGUACGUACGUACAUACAUACAUACACAGGGCACACAACCCACGUCCGCCCCAAGUCCAUGCCUGCAGGGUAGAUCCGCUCUUCUGGCCUCACCCGCGUUGCCGCCACCCUCCGUCCCUUUCACCAUCAUCCGCUCUGCCGCCAUCACUUCACAUCACAUCACAUCAACGCCAGGCCGUAGCCCAUUAAACCCCAGCCCGUGCACAUACAUACAUACAUGCCGCAAAGUUGUGGCUCGACACCGCAGGGGGCUACUCGCUAUCCUCCUUGGCGAGUGUACGGAACAGGUGACGGGGUCCCUCCUUUUCCGUCCAGCCACACGCAUGCCAAGACAUACAUACAUACAAAGACAAGAACAGCCGAACACACGCACACCUCCACAACCGCAACAUCAGAUGAUUCCUAACCGCCCAACCAAAAGAAAGAUUCAACAAAGCGGGCUCCUAAAGGCCCCACUCCUCCGAAACCUCCUCCGAAACCUCUUCCUCCUCCUCCUCCUCCUGUGGAUUACCCCUCCUUGACGGAUCCCCCUUUGUAGGCGUAAAUGUGCAGGCAGGGCCGGUUUGCGCGCGGCGGGGCAAUUAGUUGAGCGAUGCACCACUGACAGGCAAAUGACAGACGAGAGGAAGAAGAAAGAAGGGCCGAAGGCGGUCCGCACUAGCGGGACCUGUGGUGACCCAGUGACCUUGCGGUGGGCCGAAAAGGAUGCAUGCAAUGCAGCGGCGCAGCACGCGGCCCGCGCGGAGAGCUUUCCUUCUCACAGGCUUGCACAGCCUGUCUGUCUAUCUCUCUGUCAGUCAGUCUGUCUGUCUGCCGAAUUCCCACUCUGUCCUCUGGCCUGAUGACUAUUAGGUGGCUUUCCCAGCCUGGAGCCCACAGCUACCAAACUGACCCAGGUGCGUCUGACCGCGUGUGGACGACGUGCGGCGCGAACGACGACGCAGAAGCACACUGGCGAUCAAACAGCAAACAGAAUCAAAUCAGGGGUGGAAAAAUAUUUCCCGUGCAGUUGCAGUUGCGCUGCGCUGUGCCGCUGCCCUGCAUCAUGGAUUUUUAUAAAAUCAAAAUGGCAACCCCUCCGCCCCACGCCCUUUCCCAACAUAGCCCACCAGCCAGCCAGCCAGGUCAGCCAGCCAGCCAGCCUUCCCUGCACGGCACCUAGGCACCUAUAUCGCCCAUGUGCAGCCCGGUCAGGCCCCCCCCGUCGGCCGCUUGACGAAGGAACGCAGCCGCUCCGCCUACCCCCCCCGUGGAAUGACGCCCCCGGGAGCGCCAAAUGUGAGUAAGCGAGUGUCUGUGUGUGUGUGUACGCGGGUUUCCGCUCAAACCAAAGCACCACCUAUCCUCCUCCCUACAACCGCACUCCUCUAGUAGCCCUCCGCCCCUCCCUCUCUGAGCUGCUGGACACAAUACCGCUGGCGGCCCCGCUCCCUUCCUCUCGCCCCUCGUCGCGACACCUCUUACGAGACCUACCUGCCUACCUGCCUGCGCCACAUGGCAGUCCCAGCAAUUCCAGUCCCGGUGCCAGGACUACACGCAAACCCAGAUGACCUACAACCCACAGAACAGCACGGCCGCCACCGCCGCCACCGCUAGAGCUCUAGUAUCCACAUCAGCACCGGCACACCCCAGGGCGGGGGCAGGUAGACCCCGCCGCGGAGACCCCCUACCUCGCGGGUGUUGCGACCGUGCCACAGCCACCUCCACUGCAACCACCGACACGACCCCCUGCCAUGUCUUGCACAUCGUCGCUGGGGCCACGUCCCCCCGCGCCGGUCCCCCUCCUUGGCAUCAUCAGCUUCACGCACUUGUGGUUCGUCUUUUGUACCCUCCCUCAGGUUACAAACCAGGCGGGGAGCUUACUCCGCCCCCGAGCGGGACGAGAGGGACCGCCGUCGCUCCGAAACCCGCGGGGGCCAAUCCAACGGCGGGCAACGCCGCAGCCGAUGCGCCGCGGGCCAAGACCUGGGCCUGCUGCUGUUGCCGCGGCAGUAGCCGCAGCCGCUGCUGCUGAAGGCCCUGAGGUGACAUUGGCGCCGCCGCAGUGGCGGCCGAGUCCGGCAACACCUCCGCCAGGGAUACUUGCAUCGGCUGCACACCGCCGGCCGAGGCGCUGCCGGCGGCAGCAGCGUACGGCUGCGCACCUAGGAAUCGUAAAGGAGCGGCUGCCGUCAGCGGGUAGCACACUUGGCCCUGGCCCGUCACGGCGGCGGCGGCGGCGCCGGCGGCGGCUGCAUUCGCCUGCUCCGGCCAAACCGAUCCUGCAACCCCGUCCUGAUAAGGCGCCGAGCCAGUGGCCUGCACCCAGCCGUACAACUCCGCAGUGGGGGUAUGGCCAACGACAGUGCCGACGGCAACGGUCGCGGUUGACGACCCGGGAACCGAAAUGUACGGGAGUGGUUGUAACGGCGCCGUCGUGGCGUGGGGUUGCUGGCCACCGGCGGCGGCCGCUAUGGGGUACGUGGUGGCGGGAUCCUGUGUAGCCGCCGGCGCCCCGCCCACAAUCAGGACGGGCGCUGAUGCCGCCGCCGUCGGGCCGUUCCCCCAACUAAUCAGCACCUGCGGCUGUUGCGGCGGCGGCGGCGGCGGUUGCGGCGGGCCCCCCGAAAUGGUGUAAUGACCCAGGUACUGCUGCUGCGCCGCCUGCUGCUGCGCGGCCUGAAGCUGCAGCAAUUGCUGCGUCUGGGCUUGCGCUUGCGCCGCCGCCUGCGCCUGCCAUGCCGCCUGCAUGUGGGCUUGCAGUUGCUGCUGGUGGUGCAUCCGCAGUAGGUGGCUCAUAGCGGCAGCCUCCGCCGUCAGCUGUUGAACGGUAUCGGCGGUAGUGCGCAACGCAUCAUCGGCGGCGCCGGACGCCGCCAUGACGGCUGCGGUGCCCUGCGCUGUGGUGAUGCCGUCCGGCCCCGCGGCGCCGGCCCCAGCCGCCGCUGCGGCUUGCCGCUGCUGGUGAUGCAGCGCCGAAACCAGUGUCCGCAACUGCCCGGCGGCCGUAGACGUCGCCGCCGCUGAUGUCAGCAGGGUCAGGGCCGCCUCAAGAAAGCUGCCGUUGCGCGUCACUGCCGACGCUUGCACAGCCGUGAUGCCGCCAACGCCGCCGCCGCCGCCAGCCGCUGCGGCAGAUGCCGCCAGCUGGGCGGCCAUUGCUGCCGACGCAGCAGCGUCUGGCCCUGACAUCGUUGCCACCGCCGCCGCCGCCGCCGCCGCGGACUCGAACGCAAACGCGGUGUCAUGUCGCUGCAGCUGAUGCUGCAAAGACGGGUAUGGUGCAAUUUGCGACUGCUGCAAUAGCAUAUGCGGAUGCUGGUGCUGAAACGGAUGUUGUUGUUGCUGCUGCUGAUGUUGUUGUUGUUGUUGCUGCAUCACCGCCGCUGCGGCCGCAGCGGUAGCGGCUGCUGUUGACGUCAGCGCCGGGCCUGAUGACAGGAAAAGCCGGGCCAGCUCCGCCGCCUGCUGCGGAUGCAGCGGCAUCGCCGCCGCCGCCGCGGCCGGUGCGCCGUUCUGCCCGCGUCGCGUGUUGACGUGGUCGGCCAUUGACGCAGCCGCGUGUGUGAAGGCCUGCACCACCGCCGCCGGUGGAGCUGGUACGGAGGUAAUCGCUGAGAUCAGGAGAGACAGCUCUCGGUAUUGCUCCGCCGCGCGGCUGAGGAGAUCCAAAUCCAGGAGGGGGUACGGCAAGGAGGCACUGGGUGGACCAGGUGCGCCCCCUCCCCCAGCGGGACCUCCCGUCACAACCGGUGGGGAGCCUGAAUGGGUUGUGGCUGUGGUGGCGGUGGCCGUGUCGCUGGUGUUGGUGGCAGCGGUAGCGGUGUUGGUCGAGGCGGUGUCAGUAGAUGUGCCCGAGGUGUAGGUGGAGGAGCUGGGAGAGGAGGGAGAGAAGGGGAAGGCUGCGGGGCUGCAGUCGCCUGCGAGGUUAAAGGGGAAGAGGGAACGGGGGAGAAGGGGGAGUGGGAGAGGAUAGUCGUGGUAGGAAGGGGGUAGGGUUGUGUGGGAAAGGGAUCGGAUGGCGGGGGAAAGACGAACCACAAACGAGUGAAGCUGCUGCCAGGAUGGCGGGGGCGGGGGAUAAUAUGCAGUGCCAAGUUUUGUUGCCCAACGCCGUCCAGUGCGUAGUGCUGCCUAGUGCGUUGCUGCACUUGCCUGUCCAUGCCUACCCAUGUCAAGCAGAAACACCCCAAUCAUUAAUACAUAUUACAUUGCAGCGUAGAGAGUAGAUAGAGUGCCGAUGCCCGGAGGAGAUGCGCGGUGUGGAGAGGGUGAUCCGGAGGGUAAGAGAGGCGAGGAUGACUCGUGUGCGGUGUACGACACACGCCAUAAACCCAACGUCUCCACUGCCGUACAGUGAAGCAACCGACCCACCUGAGCAUUUGUGAGUGUGGGUCGUAAGGCCCGCCGCUCGGCGACGCGCCGCGAUCUGCUCCGGGAACAAUUUCUCUAUGGUCUCCCGAAGCCUGAUGCAGACGCCUAGAUGGAAUACGCGUGAAAACAUAAGCAUAUGGCAUAUGUGUGAAUAAAUGAGGAGAGCUGAUGCACGUGUUAAACUGCGCGCAGUCCCCACAGCUGCGAUACCAUCCCCUCGGUGGAAGCAGCACGACGGCAAAACAUGGAAAACUCCCUUACGGCUAAGGCGCACCAAAGACUUUUCUUCCAACUCACCGAAUGACUGGUCGGCAGAUGGAAGCAGGACUGCGCGGCAAAUGGGGCACAGAACAGGCUGCCCUACCAACUGCCGCGACACUUUCCAUUCUUCGAUACAAUGCUUGCAAAAGUCAUGCCCGCAGCUCCCUGAAACAUAAACAGCCAAGGUGGAGCGUGAAAAGGAUCCGAGGCAAAACUUCUUUGCGGACGCCCAACGUUCCCUCUGUAGACCUUGUUGGCACAGUGCAGCCCAUGAGCGCAAUGAGGCAGGUUGCUAUAAUUUCUGACCCCAUGCUAACUAUGUUUAACUAGAACGCACAUGAUUUCGGCCCCGGAUAACUUCAUCUCUGCCAACUUCGCUUCAUCAUAAGACCUGCCAAAUCCCACUUACCAACUACGGGGUUAAGUAGAAGAUCGUAACAUAUUGAACACUGGAAUUCGCUUGCGUUCCAUUUGGGAUGAGGCGAGGACAGCCGGGCUGGAAUGCUAUUCACAUCGCAGUCCCCGUCAGUGCUUGUCGCGCCAGGCAUCGUGGUGCGCCUCGCGCACACCAGGACUAGGAAAGAUGGUUACCAGGGUCCCUAUGGAAAGGCUCUUGAGUACGCAGUGACGUUCCAGAGGAGAUAAGCAAAUGAAACCGUCGACGGCGUCAAUUUACUCAAGGAGGAAACUAUUGCAAAUUGUUUAUUUAGUAAUUGACCGCCAGGAAUGGCGGCCAUGCAUAUCUUGUGCCAAAAAUCAAAAAAUAUCUGCUGCACGGAAAAUAUCUGCCGUAUAGGUACUUCUCCUGAUUCUUCCUAGAGAUGAGACUUUGGUAGUUUUGAAAGUCCUCUGAUCACUAUGUUGUGUGAACUUAGAUUGUGAUGGCAAUGUGCAUUGAAGAUUGCGGACGAAAUCUCGACGGGCUGGUGCGGCUCUUGGAUAUCCUACCACACGGCAGGAGAUGUAAAGAAUCCGGCCGCGUUAGGCACCCAUACUCAACUCGAUGGAUUGAACCUAAUAUUUUUACAAGGCAUUUAUCCUACACGGCGUUAGCAUUCGGGUUCCCCUACUGUAGUUUACAGGACUGUGCCUGUCAUCUUUCAACCGAUUUGGGCCGUUUUUUUGGAUGCCAAUCAAAAUCCUUAUUGCAAAAUAAAGCAGAUAACUUUAUUAAGGCUUGCGUAUAACAGUGUCCGGUUACAGGAGUACUGAAAGCUAUUACAGGAACAAGUCACUUGCCGACGGCUGCGCAGGAGAGGAACCAGUGGAGGCCCGCGCAACGGGAAUCGCAAGGACCUAGAAAACUUGGGAUGUAAAGGAGGACAAUUCCAAAUGACUGAUUCGUCAUUACUCCUUGGUCACACCCUCAAGCAGCCAAGCGCGCGCUACAACGCUAGCCAUACUGCUGCCGGCUGAUCCUUUGGAAACCGCUUGCUACAAACAUGCGAAUCCAGGGCGACGGCAGCGCUUCCAUGCCUCUUGUCUCUUCCUUUCCACCCAUGUUGAUUCGUGUCAGGGGUUGGGAGAUUAGUUUCGACUGACCACACACCUUGAAGAGAACACUCCUCCGCAUCGGCCACACCAGGUGUGUGGCCACGUGGUCACAUCGCGCGUGUCUUCCUCAGCUACCUCUACGGGACGGGACGAGAACUCAUUGACUUCAGACUACGACGUACGAGAACUACCGGACAACAGGUUCGCGGACUACAGACCGUACAGACCUUGCUGGGCUGAGCUGGACGUCAGGCACAGCUUGCGUCGGCUUGAGCUGGCAUAAGCAAAAAUGAAGUGCAAUGAGACCACAAGCUAGCUAUGAGGUUAGCGUCUUUAUUGAGCCUAGCGUGGGCGAUUUCGUUGGCAAGUCCACAACGAGGGGGCAAGAGGACUUCGCAACGGCUGCCUUGCAGGGCCCGUGCAUAGGCCUCCGAUGAGGGUGAGCAGCACACCGUAUCAGAUCGCUAUUGUCAGGGUGUCGUCGCAGAGAUUUGGACAAGCAAUAGCCUACCAUGGACGCACAUGAAAUCGUGCAUCGUGGACCUGCGCGACAGAUGAUAGUACGGCACAACCAGGAACGGUCGCAACGACUCCAGGUUGUCGUUCCCACAAAACUGAAUCUGUGUGCUUUCAAAAAGAUGACGAUCCGUUUCGCUCAACAUAAAAUUGUUUAAUGUUGCCAUUACCUGAGCGCGUCCAGGCCUCCAGGCCUGUCCGUGAUACGGUCGGCGUUAUCCGUUGAGCCAUCACACAUUGCCGUUGAACACGACUUAGUAAGAUCUUUGUGCCAUUGCAUAGGCUCUACUAAAUUUUUAACCUCUCUCUUGAGCCGUUGAUAACUAGUAGAAUGCCUCCUGAAGCCGCACCUAUGGAGAACGGGUCUGCCAAGGCUGGUGCCUUCACUAAACCGCUCAAUGAAUUGUUUAGUUCUUUGCCGACCACGAUAUUUGAGGUCAUGAGCAAGCUUGGUGGGUCUAUUUUGUCGACCGGGCCGCCGCAUGGGUGCGCUGAAGAUGUCUAGGACAAAUUCAUCGCUCGGGCGAAGACACACGAUUACAUGCAUGAAAUUAAUUACUGCUGGGGGGCGGUUUUGUCACGUGUCAUGGCCACCGAUUCCUUUUCCCCUUCUCCUGCGGGUCCGUUUGUUAGCCCAUCGAGCAGGGACCCCUUUUCGUUUUACAAGAUGAUACAUUCCUUCCUUCGCAUACAUUCCUUCUUUCUUGCCGCUCUUCCACGUUUCAGCACAGAAAUUCAGAUGCGGGGAAGGCAACGCGCGAUCCUAAAACCUUCGCAACCGCGCCGCUUGCUCCCCACGAUGCACACCGGAAUACAUCCAGCCCCCUGCCCCCAAACAACCCCAGGGCGCUCCUCCCAGUUCCCUUACUUUCUGUUCCAUUCCUUCGCUGUCUCUUAUUUCCCUCGCCAUCCUUGCUCGGGCAAAACCUAGUAGGUCCGCUUCUCUCUCUUCCUUCCCCGGUUUGCUAUUCUGUCCCCUUCCGCAGCCAUGGAGCACGGCUCGGUCAACCUGGGCCAGGGCUUCCCCGACGCAGAGGGCCCCGAAACCAUGAAAGAAAUAGCCUCCAAGGCAAUGUACGACUUCCACAAUCAAUACCCCUCUCUGUUGGGGGUUCCUGAGCUUCGACAAGCCGUAGCCCGGCACAGCGAAACCAACCAGGUGCGAGAGGGGGAGGAAAUGACGGGUGGGACGGAAUGGGUUGCGGGGCGGCAGGACUUAGGUGCCGAGGAUGACGAGUGAACCAGUGUCGUCCUGCUUCACCCGCCUCCUCCCCACCUCCCCCCCCCCAAUGCUGUUCAGGGCAUUCCAGUGGACUGGGCUACGGAGACGCUGGUGACCGUGGGGGCUACGGAAGGUCUGGCGGCCUGCUUUCUGGGGCUGCUGAACCCUGGCGACGAGGUGAGUGGCUGGAAGGUCGGGUAGGGGACUGGGAUGGGGCCGCAGGGAGGCCAGGUAGGGCUAUUAGGGCGAGAUGGAGACCUAGGGUAAGAUGUGUUGGCGGAGGCAGUGUUCAUCGGAUCGUUGCGUGGGUGUAUCGACAGCGAGGUUGAGAAGGCACUGGUGACACCCCGGACCCGGCCGGGAGCCAACGCCUGUGGGGGCAUGGGGGGUAACCACGAACCGCCUCACCACCAAUAUGUGUGAAUAUGUUGGUAUUAUUGUACGUUACUAGGGCGGUGGUGAAGUGUGUAAGGACUGGGUCCGGUCGGGGCGGCGUCCGGUCAUCUGGUCGACACUUUCCCUAGGAGUCUAGCCGGAGUGCUUUUGCGACACAAAAUACUGCGACACAGAAACGAGUAUCGCGCCGUUUGCCGGGGAGAAGAGCGUCAUGCUCAUCCACAUCCCUGGUUGCGCGUCCUUCUCCGCCGCGCGGCUCCGCCAUUCCCCCCGACUGCCGUGAUUGCUGCCGCUGGUGCUGCUAACCCCCAACCCCACCCCACCCCGGCGCAGGUGAUCAUGUUUGAUCCCAUGUACGACAGCUACGUGUCCAUGGCCCGCCGCAGCGGCGCCACCAUUGUGCCCGUGCGCCUACAGCUGCCUGACUUUUCCGUACCAUUGGACGAGCUGGCGGCUGUGGUGGGUCCGCGUACCAAGAUGAUCAUGCUCAACAGCCCACAUAACCCCAGCGGCAAGGUGUGUGGGUGCGAAGGUAUCGGUCUGUCUAUCCAUCUGCCUGUCUGUCAGUCAGUCUGCCUGUCUGCCUGGUGGCUCCGAACCUAUCUAGGUCUCCUAAGGGCUGCCCCCCUCCAGCAAUCGGUGCGACCUCGCCAGCCUCCCCAUCAGCGACUCAGAGUGGGCGUUAGAUUCCUUCCGAGGACGUGAGGACCCCGGACCCCCCCAACGAGCUGGGACCACCCCUGGCCGGGCCCUCCCCGCAUCCAGGUGUUUACUCGGUCCGAGCUGGAGGCCAUAGCGGAGCUGUGCAUCCGGCAUGACGUCAUUGCGCUGUGUGACGAGGUACGUACGGGAAGGGGAGGGGGGAGGGGAGGGGAAGGGGAAGGGAGAGGGGAGGGGGGAGGGAAGGGGAAGGGGAGGGGGAAGGGGAGGGGGAAGGGGAGGGGAAGGGAGAGGGGAGGGGGGAGACGCACACCGUGCGAUGCAAACCCUUGCGCAGCUUAGAGCCAUCGUGCGGGGCAGGACGGUGUGCAGACGGAGAGGUUCGUCUUACCCUCGCGUACCCCCACCGGCCCGUGACGGAAUCCCCGCGCAUGCGCUCAACGGCAGAGGGUGCUUUGGACAUCGGCACUUGGCCAGUACUCCCCGUCUUGCUACAUCCCUGCUUUUCCUCCUGUGACCUGGGGCAGGUGUACGAGCACCUGGUGUUUGGCGGCGCGAAACACAUCUCCUUGCGUGCGCUGCCGGGCAUGGCGGAGCGCUGUGUGCGGCUGGGCAGCGCGGGGAAGACCUUCUCCUUCACCGCCUGGAAGGUCCGUCAGCUGACGACACUCUUAGUCCAUCAGUCCGUCCGUCAGUCAGUCAGUCAGUCAGCAGUAGCAAAGAGAGGGCAAACCGAGGGGACGGGUGUGGUAGACGGGCGGCGAGCGGUGUGAGCAGCGGUGCGGUCCCAGGAGGCGGGAUGCCCUUCCUUCAAGCCAUUGCGCAGCGAAUACGCUGAAGCUCCGGGUGCCUGGUGCCUUUUGGCUGCUCCCCCUUAACUUCCUUUCCGGGGCCUGGAGUGCGCCCUCUCUGUCGCCGCUCCCCAGUGCUGGUGCCCUCAUCACAUGCCAACAGCAUUCGCGAAUGGCGUCAGUAACUCGUCACACGCUGCUCGUGUUGUCCUGCGGCAGGUCCCCCGUCGCUGCCGCGUUGCUGCCUUCCUAGGCGCUCCCCUGUCGCCCCUCCUCCGUCCCCCGCGCCAUUGCCACCGUGAAAUCAGUAUUGCCCUGGCCUGGAAUACUAUCUGCGUCUAUCUAUCCGCUAGUACAACAAACCUAGACGGCAUUCGGCGAUGCGUCGCCCUAGAGGAGUGUGUUCUACUCGAAGUACUUAGCUCUAUUUUUCCCCUCUGGGGCUCUCCGGAUUCGUUUUUUUGCUGUCACAGGUUGGCUGGAUGACUGGUCCCGCUAGGCUGAUGAGUCCCAUCAUAAAAGCCCACCAGUUUCUUGUGUUCACCGUGCCCUCGAGCUUGCAGCGAGCUGUGGCACACGGGCUCGAAAACGAGUCGGAGUUUUACUUGUGAGUGGUCGGGCGGUGGGGGAACUACGAUGCUGUGUUGCUGAUGUUGUUGUUGUUGCCGUCGUCGUUGCUGCUGCUGCUGCUGCUGUUGCCAAGCUGCCUUGCUGCAGCUAGCUGAGAUGCGGCGGACGGAGGAGGCCGGGCCCCAGAGGCAUCCAUCGCGCCCUUGCUUCUAACUUCUGACCUGGUUGGCUAGGUCAAUUGGGAAAUCCACAACCCCCUUUCCCCCCACCCAAUCCAAUCAUCCCAACACCGCCCAACCCGACCCCAAGAUCCCUGGGUCCCAGCCUGGGGGUGAAGCGGCGAUACCUGGAGGAGCAGCUGGCGGCAUUGGGGUUUGGAGUGCUGCCCGCACAUGGGGCGUACUUCCUCGUGGCGGACGUAAGGUGGGGGAUAUCGAUAUGUGUAUAUACCCGGACCCCACAGGACACGACACGAAAACCUGGACGGGGCGUCAUGGGGCGUCAGUUUGUCAGCGGUGACAGCGCAACGACGGACCACCACCCUAGGCCCAUUCCUGCUGGGGUAAUGGUUUCUGUUUGCGGGUGCGUGGGUGCGUGGAUUCGCCCAUGUGUUUCACGCUUUCCUCUUUCCCUCGCCCCCGCCUGUUCCCGCCUGCACAGCAAGUUCCUGCGGCCCGGAGAGGACGAUGUGGCCUUUGCCAAGCGGCUAACGGUGGAAGGUGGCGUCACCAUCAUCCCCAUCUCGGGCUUCUACGUGGGUUCAAGCAAGCCAACCCACUUGGUGAGGUUCUGCUACUGCAAGGAAGACGCCAAGCUGCAGGCGGCGGUGGAGAGGCUCAAGGCUUAUCUGGGUCCGGAAAGGGGCCAAACCGAAGGCGGCGAUGGAGAGGGGACGCGAUAGCUGUUGCGAAUUACUGGGGCACGGGGCUGAAUGGCUGUCCAAGGCGCCCUGAGAAGGUUCAGGGCAGGCGCCGGAUGGACUGGGCAGGAUUGGGGUUUGAGGGGAGGAGGUUGUGUGUUGGGGGGCUCGUUGGUAGCUUGCUUGUGCUUGGCGUCUGCGACGCGAGCCGGUGGGGGGAGUUGCGGAUUGCGGCUGUUGGGACUGCAAGCAAGGCUCUGAUUGGGCGCCCGAGUGGGGUAUGUGUGUGUGUGUGAUAUAGGGAGGGCGGUGCAUGUGUGUGUGCGUGUGUGCGUGUGUCCAUGCAUGCGCACGACAGGCCAGAUAUGACCGAACGUGGAGUGGGUACCGGACUGGCUUGUUGCCAGACCGGCAGGCCUCCAACCCCUGGGGGGCCCCUGUAACGCCAGGGAUAUGUGCAAAAUAACUGCUUCGUGCAACCCGGGGGGAGGGCCCGCAGGACAUAUGGGCCAGAGGAUAUCUUGUGUUAGUAAUGAAAUGUGAAAUGGAAACAUGCGGCUUGCAAGUCGGGCAUUUUCCUGUGCGCUGCCAGUUUAUUGCGUUGCUUUUUGCGCUUCGCAGUGCCAGUACAGUGCUAACUGUGAGCCCGAUGAUGCCUAUGCUAUUGAUCCUGGCGUACGGGGACCAGUUGCUGGAAUCUUAUGGCUGUUCCCUUUCCUCGUUUCGUUGUCACCGUCAAUGCACUCGGGCCCGUCAUUGCCGGCCGCCCUGGAAGGAAGGCGGUUUCCUGCUGAUAGCUGCGGCUCGAGUUUACUUUGCGCAAAGCGGUUCAAUGGCGCUGGCGCGCCCACCUGCGUCUCUGUUUUCUCCGGGAAACGGCUGCCGCGUGUACCCUCGGCACACAGAGGGGCCGAAGUGUCAAAUAGGUCGCAACCGUGACCGGAACGCUGCGGCGCUGUCAAAGACGUUGUACAAUGAAAGUUUUUGCCACAGGUCCUUUGGACUCAAUUCUGAUCUUACUUCCUUGAUAGCGCUUGAUUCCAUGUGUGUGUAUGUGUUACAUGGUUGGGGGUGCGUGACCCCAUACCUGUAAAACUACCCAUACGAGCCGAAGGCCCAAGGGCAAUGUCUAUACGCCUAAAAGCCACGGAGAACAGGAAACACCGCACAUCAGCCCAGGCUAGCGUCCAAACGGGAUAACUGAGUUUCGGUGAGCCCACAUACGUUCCAACAUCCUCGCCAGACGCACUGGUUCCCAUUUAAUGGCCUCCAACAUGCUCUGUUGAUGAUCGAAUCCCUCUUCAGCACGAAUAUCAUUAUAGGCUGGGGAUUCCAAUAACACGUGUUUUUCAUCCUCGAUUCGGCUAUUAGUACUACAACAGCGGCAAAACCGCUGCUCCUGGGGACAUGGUACUUGCCUCUUCGUGCUCUGUUUGCCUCCAAAGCCCAGCAACAUAAACGAAACUGCAUUAGCUUACGAUGUGCUAAACGAGGAAUGAAGACCUUAGCAUGUGUUGGCCACAUGACGGCUGCGGCUCCCGAAAAGGGCAGCCCCAUCCAGUGCUUUUACUUCGCCAUUUGCACUCCCGGUUGCUUCCCAUCUGAUGGGUACUCCUCUGGCAAGACAUUCAUACGCGUAUGUAGCAUGACUAUACCUGGAAUGUGUAGUAGCAUGCUACAUGGAAUAACUAAACGAGAACGCUAAACCUUUCAAAGUCACGAUUUUGGUGUAGCCGGAUGUGUGGAUGGCUCUUCUCUUAGCUCCGUGGAAACUGACACCCUAUUUGUCUGAAGGGUAUGGAUAGGGAGCUGUGGAUGCGGGUUUCAGCGCGUGCGUGGAUUGCACGUCGGAACGCUUGCGGACUCCGAUAGCGCGGAGUGCGACGUGUGCACGUGCAUACGCAUGCGCACCGUUCCCUUUGAACUUAACUUAUCGGUUCGUUCAAUGUCGGGGUUGGAUUUCAUAUCCAACGCUUUGAUAGGUGUCGUCACCUUAUUAGAUUUAAGAAGCGUUUAAAAGCACGCGGGCCUGAGAUAAUGUUCCCUUCGUCUCGUGACCCCCGAAAUGGAGAGAAUGGCAAAAGAACGACUGAAUUUCUACGAAUCUGGACUCUGAAGGCCCGCGCGGCUAUGAGCUACAUACCUGGCGGCGGUAUGUAAAAGUCAAUGAAUUUAUAUGCGUCGUGUACGAUGUGUUGGUGGGCUGACUACGCCGCUCUCGCACCGAGCCGAGCCGGUAAACCCCUUAGUUAAUUGUAGCUUGCGGUCCGUGCGUCGAUCUGCAGACAGCUCAGGAGCCAUGCGUGGGUACUGCAUGUUUCCCGGUGGGCACAUCGCAUAUGAAGGGGAGUGGCUUAGCUAGUAUUGUGCACAGAUUACGGGAUGCCGGUGUGUAGCAGCGGCGUUAAAAAGGCCGCUCGAGAUGCUGUGCAUCAACACCGUCUCGGUUAUAUAUUUGAGGGUCUCCUACCUAUAACAACUACCGUUGUUACACGGUUUUUACAAGGUUGGUGGGCGGGUGUUCACCCUAUCCCUGGGAUCUAGGCGUGUUCUGCGGGGCUAUGCUGCGCGCUUAGACGAAGGACACAGUAGCAGGCGGUUACGUAAAAGGGGUCCAAGCCUUGUAUGGACGGAUACUGCAUGGCAACCACCGCUCGCAAAUGCACGUAAGCCGCGGAUUCGAGCGUAACGUUGUGGUCCAUGCGCAGUAGCGCAAGGUGUGGAGCCGGAAAUAAUUACAGCAGCAGACAGCCGCCCAUAUAGAUGCACAUGAUUUAGUUGCAUGUCGUUGUACUGGGCCCAAGCGGAAAGUGCUGGGACGCAACCUGAAGAUUGCACUUGCAGGCACUUAGGGUUGGCGUUAAGUGGUUAGGUUUCACUUGCGCAUCGCCGUCUGCCGGGGGGUCACUGAAACGAACAAAGGAACGAACUCCUGGCUAAGGAGUAUAUAAUGUUGUAGCAGUCGGUAAUCCUCGAGCAAAGCAGGGAGCGGGGAAGCGGGGAGCGCCAUUAAUCGCCCCGUGCAGACGGUUGGGAGCGAUAGGGGGAAGGGAACCAGUUGCCAACACACAGUGAGAUAAUAGCGCGCAUGACCCUCGCUCGUGCCUUGGCCGCAAUUACUGCUGCUGUUGCUGCUGCUGUGCGACACCCGCCAAAGCUGUCGACGCCUGUUGUUGCUUAUCAUUCACUCCUUGCGCGCCGACAAUAAAAUGAGGUAAAGACCUAGGUUCCAAUAUGUUUUAUCGACCCUCAUACGUCGGCAGCGCGAGCGCGCUUCAGUUGGCCUUCGAAUCAAGUCCAGUACCAUGGAUUACGGUGUUGCCGGUCUUCAAACAGAGACUUCCCUUGGUCAUCAGGCCCACUGAAUCUCAGAGAUUGUCGCAAAGACAUGACUCUUCUAUCCUGUCUGGAAAACUGAGGGACAACUCACAGCCACUUGUGUACGGCUACCAGUACGAGUGUUUUGCAUUUGUAAAUUUGGUGCUUUCCCUCCCUCCGCCCAUUCCACAAGCACUGGCACGGGGCAAAUGCACCGUAGCUAGCAUACGCACAGUAUUUCCGUCUUUUGUUCUUUGCUCUAGAAGAUCCCUGUCGGCGCCAAGCACAUCAAGUGCUUUACGGAGCUUUGUUUUUAAGCUGCAAGGCUUCCCAAUAGACGCGUAACUUUAAGUUAAUCGUCUUGGGAGUUGCCUUGCUCUGUAGAGGCGGGAGAUCUGCUAGCCAGUCACGCGGGCAAGUGCCUUUUGGGCACACCAUCUGGCUUCUCUGCACAGAAAAUCUACAAACCCAGCAUGGCGGUCGUGAUUGACCUUUCUGCGGCGCUGGCGUCCACCUUUAGCCAUGAUGCGAGUAUCCGUCAACAGGCGGAGCAGCACCUGGACCAGCUGAAGGAGACGAACUUUCCGGGUUACCUUGCCAGCAUAACAAAUGAGCUAGGAAAUGAGGACCGCGCGGACGACAUCCGUCAGGCGGCAGCGCUGCAACUCAAAAACUCGGUUGACGCGAAGGACGCGGUGCGCCGUCAGGAUUUGAUGGCAAAAUGGCAGGGAACUGAUGCUGCUCUGAAACAACACAUCCGUGACGUGUUGCUUCGGUGCCUGCACUCUCCGAAAGGUGACGUAAGGAAGACCACAGCGCUUGUCAUCGCGAAAAUCGCGAACAUCGAUAUGCAAUCCAAAGCGUGGCCUGCGCUUAUUCCAACACUGCUAAACAACAUGGCAGCCCAGCCUCCCGCUUCCGUUGGCACUCGCCAGGCGACCCUUACGACGUUCGGCUACAUCUGCGAGGAGGUCGACGAGUCUCUGCUGUCGCCCGAGAAUGUGAACAUGAUUUUGACAGCAGUUGUUGCUGGAAUGGGGCAGUCAGAGCAGGACGAUGUGCGCCUUGCUGCUAUCAAGGCGCUCACAAACGCUAUUCACCUUGCAAGGGGUAACUUCGAGGUUGAGACGGAGCGCACCUACCUCAUGACGGUCGUGUGCCAGUGCACACUGGCAAGUAAUCAGCCGAUGCGGGUGGCAGCUUUUCAGUGCCUGCAGCAGAUUGCUGAUAACUACUACCCGAAGCUUCAGUCGUACAUGACUGAGCUGUACCAGCUCUCCACCAAAGCUAUUAAGGACGACGAGGACGAGGUGGCUACCCAGGCCAUCGAGUUUUGGAGCACUGUUGCAGAGUAUGAGUUAGAGUUAGUGGAGGACGGGAAGGAAGAUCAAUGCAAGAACUUCAUCGCCAGCGCUGCCGAGUACCUGCUGCCCCUCAUGCUCGAUUGCUUGGCGAAGCAGGAUGAAGACUCACUGGAGGAUGAGGGGACUUGGAACCGCGCAAUGGCCGCUGGCUUCUUUUUGAAGCUGCUGGCGCGCAUUUGCAAGGACCGAUUGGUUCCCCAGGUAAGCACCAACAAACGUAUCUACCCAUCCUAGAAGCUGUUGCUAACCGCUGCCACAGGUUGGAAGAUUGUUUGAGAACCAGUCACAGCUCUGGGCGUUGGUCGAUCUUAAUGGUUGCCUCAGCAGACUGUAUGGAGGGCAUUGUAUCGAACUUCCUAUGCCCUCCCAUGAUUGUGCAGGUGCUUCCUUUCGUUACGGGUAAUAUUUCGUCCCCUGACUGGCACUACCGUGAGGCGGCUACAUUUGCGUUUGGUUCCAUAAUGGAGGGCCCGGCUCCAGCGGCUUUGGACCAGUUCGUGCGGGCAGGCCUUCCCUUCCUGAUGAAUGCGCUUAAGGACCAGCACCGCGUUGUGCGGGUAUGCAAGGAUUGUGUUGUUUAAACCUUUGGAAUUGCAGCUUCUUGACGCGAAACAUUUGAUUCAGCUUGCAAGGGGGAUGUACUGGAAAACACAUGGGAAUCGCUUGCUUCGUCGAGGGGGUCCUGUCUAGCUUUCCAGAUUGAUGUGUGCAACAACUCGAUAGCUCAUUGUUCUUGGCGCAUCCUUUGGUUUAGCAUUACCGUCCUUACCAAAAACUCAUGUUCCCCGGAUGCGUAGGAGACGACAGCUUGGGCGCUAGGCCAAGUAUUUGAACACCUGCACGGGAACGAGGCGGAGGGUCAGCCGCCCAUCGUCGCCAAGGAGAGCAUUCCUCCCUUGCUGUCCGCGCUGGUGGCAUCGCUUAAAGACGAGCCGCGGGUUGUCUACUAUGUUUGUGACGCUUUACGCUUCCUGGCUUUAGGCUUUCAAUCCUCUGAGGGUAAGUUAUGCUUAUGCUAGGAAGGUGCCCGAAUGAGGUUUCAAGCAAUGAACCGUGUACGCUUUAGGUUUUGGCACGAUCUUGGCAAUAUGUCUGCAUGAAAUGACGAAAAAAAGAUCUGUGACAUGCUGAAUCUUCGUGUAGGUGAAACAACACCGCUGUCGCCGUACCUGAAGGACCUGGUCCAGAACUUGUAUGAGACUGCCGAGCGCUUCCGCAGCGCCCCAUGCGAGAAUAGUGGAAAAGCACAAGUUGCCGCCUACGAGGCUAUUAACGACCUCGUCCGUUCGUCAGCACGAGACACUUUGGAGUUUGUCGGUACCCUACUUCAGGUAGGGAGUGCUUGUCGCACUAGGAUUGAAUUUGUUCAAACAGACUUGGCACCUGUUUCGUCUUGCACCGUUUCAUUCGCAGCAUGGUCCCGGUAUCUGCUUAUGUUACCCCAGGUUUGUGCAAAUUUUUAAAAUUGAAUACCAACUUAACUCUUAUGGUUCGUGUUUGGCAUGGCCCAGGUGGUCCUCGGCGCCAUCAACACAAAUCUGGAGACGCAGAUUACGUCGCAUCAGGCUGCGGAAAAGAUGGCAACUCUGCAGGGUCAGCUCUGCGGCAUGCUGCAGGUCUGCAUGGAACGGCUUUGCCGCAGCGACGACGCACGGGCUGCCCUAGUGCCCCUUCGUGACAAGGUAACGUGAUUAUAAUAUAAAUUAUGUCCGUAGCGUACUUCCAACAAAUGGGCGUUCAGCAGUAACCUCUUACCUAUGGCCGUUAUGUUCGCAAUUCUCUUGCUUGACCUUCGUCCACUGAGGCUGUUCACUACCCUGUCCCUUUCUACGUUUGCAUCCCUGCGCUUAAUAGAUUAUGGAGACGCUCCUCCAGGUUAUGGCACGUACUCAGUCGGGCGCCGGUGUUCAUGAGGAGGCCAUGCUAGCGGUUGGCACUUUUACAGUGGCGGUGGGCAGUGAUUUUGAGAAGUAUUUGCAGAACUUCAUGCCCUUCGUUCGCGCGGGUCUCCAGGAUCACAUGCAAUGGCAAGUUUGCUUGUCCACCGUUGGCGUCCUUGGGGAUGUUUGCCGCGCUGUCGGCGUGGCGCUUUGGCCAUACUGCGACGAACUGGUGUCGAUCAUCCUCUCCAACUUGGGGUCACCCAAUGUGCACCGGAACAUCAAGCCGGAGCUGCUCACGGUGCUGGGUGACAUGGCAUUGGCUAUUGAGGGGAAUUUCGCUAAGUACUUGGACGCAGUUGUUACGAUUCUGCGUCAAGCCAUGGCUAUGAGCAUCCAGAUGGUUAGCAGCCAGGGUAAGUUGCGGUAGCUGGGAUUGGGGCUCCUUCACUUUACAAACAGCAAGUUGAGUGGGGGCAUCAUACAGCAUCACGUGGAUAUCUGUUCAAUUUGUAUAGUCAUGCCAAUGUGUUUCAUGUUUCGCACAAAAAACGAAGUUUAUCCCUCCUUGUGCAUGCCAGAUUAUGACACGUAUGACUACAACAACUUGCUCCGUCGAGGCAUCAUCGACGCCUUUUCUGGAAUUGUCCAGGGCCUCGGGGACGAUAUUACAAAGGGCACUGGCAGUGGGUCGGCAAGUCGAGACCGUCUCACGGCAGAGCUGCCCGCUGUGUACCAGUUCGUUGCCAGUAUUGGAGCAGAUAAAACAGCGGGAGAUGCCUACGAUGAAGACGUGGCGCGGGCUGCCACCGCCUUGCUAGGCGAUCUCUGCAGCGUGCUCCCGGUGCGUAUUGUGCUUUUUAGCACGGGUGUGGUAAGCUAGGGUUUUCCAGCAUGGAACUUCGCUCUGAUCGUCUUUUCCCGGUGUUCUGGUUGCGCUGCUCCAUCCGUUUUCCAGUCCCCUAUGUAAGGCCGAUUUUCCUUGUUGCUGCAAACAGACUGCUGGAGCGACGCUGGCGAGCUGCCCCAACAAAGAGUGGACGAUGCUCACUAGCUUCGUUAUCUCGUGCAGCGAUGACUCGCUCUCCAGCAACAACGUGAACUGGGCAAUUGAGCUGCUGAGGAAGGCCACGAACGGCGCAUUUUUUUAAACGACUGAUUAGGCACUGUAACGGGUAGGCAUGUUCCUUCAAUUGUUGUGUAAUGUUGGUGUCGUUUUUUGGCGUGCGCGAAGUCCUUUGUUCUACUUUUUUUUGGCAAUCCAAGAUUUACUAGACAGGAAGAUAUGGUAGUAAGGUCGAUAAACGAGCCGGGCUAGGGUUAGCGCUCUCACCAAAGCUCAACUAGCCCAUAAUGAAAAGCGGCGGUUGUGGUAUGUCAGUAUUUUCGUUAAUACCCGUAAAGAGGCACACAGUGGGCAGUAGUCGUGGAGCGUUAUAGAUGUGUCUUUCGGAGGUUGUCUGGUGUGGAAAUCGCAGGUUUUCGUGGGAGAGGCAGGUGGGGCAGGACGAGCCGGGCCCCGGUGGGGCCGUAGCUCUUGUGGAGCAGAUUCUAGUUUGUUAUGCAGGGUUAAGCUACUGCGCAGGAUAGGUUAUUUCGCUGAAUUAGUGUCCAUGUUCGUAAUGUGUGAUUGUGUGAGUUGGAAAUUUGUGGUGGGAUGCUGCGUUAGCGUGCUGCUGACACCAGCUAGGCAGUUAAGGGUCCGGCUUAUGCCUCUUUAGGGUGAUGGGGAUCUCACUGGGUUGCUGGUUUAUGAGCGGAAUGAACAUAUGACUUGGCGUGAACGAAAGUGCUGUGUUAUAAUCGCAGUCGUGUAAAGAGUCAAGUGUAUGACAUGUUGCGACACAAAUCGUCCAGGUAUCAUCGAAGAAGGGCUGUGCACUCCGUUCUGUGGAGGCCGCAGGUGCUACUGGUGUGACUGUGUGCUCUUGCUUGUGCGGGGCAGGACAUGAGAUCUGGAUGGGAGUUAGUAAGAGGAAGCAGGUUUGCCCUUGCGCCUCUCUCCGUGCUUCGCGGUGCAGUGCCAGUGCAAUGCAUUCCGUGUGAGGUGAUGUGCGUGCAAAUACGCGUGUGUAUGUCCUGAAAAGUCCGUUUGCAAUGUUCUUCUGAAGUUUUGCUUAUUGUUUGUGUAUUCCGUUCCAGUCGCUUUGGCGACGGUUCGCACGGUCGAAGUCCUAUUGGAUCUAGUCUGCCAGGAGCAGCAACGCGCGGAAUCAGCAAUUUUCGGGAACUGCUGGAGUGUGAACUUAAGAAAGGGCGAUUUUCCUGGUUUGGCCAGCAAAACUGUUGAAACAAGAAUUGACGCCAUGACAACUGAAGUCUUGUUAUGUUGUGGUGGUAUUCGUGUUGAGACCGUCACCGAUUAUCACCCAGUCGACCUGAGUCCGACAACAGGUGGCUAAAUCAGGCACAGCUCUUGUUCCUUUGCACAUCUUAGGGUUUCCUGAUGUGUUGUACAGCAUGACGUAUCCCUUUUUCUGCCCCAGGUCCUCACCCGAUUUCCUUUAUGGAGGCACAAUCAAUUCUUACAGCGGAGCCAGAAAGGCUACAUAUGAUUACAGCAGACGCUGGGGCCUCAUCCUUAAGCUGAAGGACUCUAAAGCACGUAGAGGGUGUGCCGAUGAGAGCAUACGGCAUGGUGAAUGGUGCGGGUAAGACGAUAUGAGGUUGCAUUAUAUUACAUCCUCAGAUUGCAGCUGGUCGGACCGAUCUGAGUCAGAUUGCACGCAGUCCUGGGGGCCCUGACUCGAAGUCAGCCCCACCCUGGAGUUAGUUGGUACCGCUUUCAUGUACUUCCUCAAACAAACUGCUUCUCUAGUACUGUGAUGUUUUAUUUGUUAUAUUCAAGAAAACUUAACUGGACUUGCAAGGCGCCACCGCAGUUGCCGGUGCCAUGAAAGCGCGACCGUCCCGGGACACAGCAUCAGGCCCAGAAAUAGACUUAUAACUCCANNNNNNNNNNNNNNNNNNNNNNNNNNNNNNNNNNNNNNNNNNNNNNNNNNNNNNNNNNNNNNNNNNNNNNNNNNNNNNNNNNNNNNNNNNNNNNNNNNNNNNNNNNNNNNNNNNNNNNNNNNNNNNNNNNNNNNNNNNNNNNNNNNNNNNNNNNNNNNNNNNNNNNNNNNNNNNNNNNNNNNNNNNNNNNNNNNNNNNNNNNNNNNNNNNNNNNNNNNNNNNNNNNNNNNNNNCUUGCAAGUCCAGUUAAGUUUUCUUGAAUAUAACAAAUAAAACAUCACAGUACUAGAGAAGCAGUUUGUUUGAGGAAGUACAUGAAAGCGGUACCAACUAACUCCAGGGUGGGGCUGACUUCGAGUCAGGGCCCCCCGGGCGUCUUGCAGAUUGCAACCUGUCCCAAAGGUCAUGUACGGCAAAUUAUAACCCGCAGAUAGCUAUUUUCCAGAGCUGCAAUAAAUUCAUUUGCGAUAGCACCUCAGCGACAGCACGAAGCCUCAACAGGACACCUGAGUCGCUCGCACUAAACUGCUUUGUAUUGCCAUGUCACAAGCUGCUGGCGCGCCACUCCGAAAUGCCUUUGAAGUUUUAAUGAAUCGUUGCCAUGAGAAGCCUACAAUCUCAAGACAGCACCCUCGGAGCAAAUCGAAGCCGGCCUCGGUUAAGUCGCAGUCCUCACCCAGUUCGCUUGCGUCGUCAGUAUUGGAUUUAAAAACGUCUCAUGACGUGAAGCAAACAUUCGCUGCGCAAUUGGACAAAUCCUCCCCUGCUGUGAAACCAGUGACCAGCAGCCAUCAGCAGGUUAACGAAAAUAUGGCACGAGCGCAGCCAAUGACUGGCAUAGGAAAUGAGGCGCGUGAGAGAGGCCCUGACUUAUCGUCCCACCCUGCGGAAGUGCCGUGCACUACGGGCCGGACCGCACCUGAGGGACCUCAGCAAAAACGGGCACGGCUGAUGGCGCCCUUUCACCGCCCUUCAGCAAGGACGCCCUCUCGCCAAGUGGGUCCAGGGAAUGUUACCGGUGCGGGUGCCAGGCCCGCCGUGCCUUUUCAGUCGGCGUCUACGGCGUUGUACCUAGGGGUCGACAGGCGCGCUCCAGAGGAGCCUGGGAAAAAGAAAACAUGUAAUCGGGUCACCUGUGCCGUGCGGCCGUGACAGCGGCCGCGACCACGCGGAUAAUGCCUCUCGAAACCACCCGGUACAUAGCAUCGUGGCGGCGUUUGCAACAUGGUUUCCUGCGCUUCAUGAAAUCACCCCUCGGCUUCGCAUGUGUGGACAUUUCCUCCGUGGUAUUUACUCCAUGGUAUUAAGUCCUUGCAAAUUAGCACCGCGACCGCCUCCCCAUACACCACCAUCGCCACCACAACGCCACCAUACACCUUUCGGUGCCCGCGCAAGUUGGCCGUCGGGCCGGGGCAGCGGCGGGUCGGUACCCAAGGCCGACGAGCACCUCUCCUGCUGCUUUCCCAUGGCUCCGACCUCGUGCUCUUUCAAUGCUCCGAAACUCCACCGCCCCGGUUACUGCAAUCGCACAUAAUGACCCCGGCGCUUCCCAGCCUCGGCCUCCCUUUUCCGCAUACAGCCGUUCGUUCCGGCCAGCUGCACAGUUCACCUGUAAAAUGAAACCUACUGCCCCCAUCCUUGUACGUGCCUGGCUGUGAUGUGAAGGGGUCCACACACACUUUCCCCCUCCCGCCGUUCCCCCCUUCCCAUUCCACCGUCCCCUGCCGGCCCCCAUCACCUCCCCUGCCAGGUACACGACUUGUUCUUGGUGCUAGAUCUGGAAGCCACCUGUACAAAGGUACACGAGACAAAUGGUUGUAGCUCUGUCCAGGGGUUUCCAGUGGACAUGGAGGACCGACCGUUGGGAUCACUGCACGGUCCGAGUAGAGGCGCAAGGGGCAAGAGUGCACACCGUUUUGGGCACCGCCUUCCGGCUGCCGGACCCUCUGGCUGAGCUCCGUCAUCCACCAUUUGGGAACAUGGCCACCAUGUCUGAGCCAUUAUAUUGUAAUCUCGAUUUUCGUCCCCCCUCUGGAUCCCCGCUCCUGCAUGUGCCAUCCAUCCGCACAUAUACGAUUACGAAACUCACACAUUGUAAAUGCACCCCUCUCCCACCUUCACCUGCGCCAUGUACUUGCCCGCCGUGCAUCCCCCGCCGCGCAACUACGCCGCCAACGAAACAGUGUCGCAGCCUCUACCCCAUCGAGAUUAUCGAGGUCAGCGCGCUGCUCCUGGACGCGCACAGUCUGGCCACACUGGGGGAGUUUCAGUCGCACGUAAGGCCCACGGAGCACCCCCUGCUGGAUCCCUUCUGUGUGGAGCUGACGGGCAUCGAGCAGGAGCAGGUCGGGGGGGAAACACACGGGGGGGGGUAACUGUGGAAAGAGGGAAGGGGUGAGGGUGGGGAGUUGCAGGAUGCUGGUGAGGUGGGCGGGCGGGUGAUUGGAUUUGAAUGGGUGACGUGGAGAAUGCAAUGGUACGUUUUUUCAUGAUGACGAGGACGCGUAUGUGCGCGUGUGUGUUCAUGCCAUCUAAUGUGACAAGUAUUGCGUACGGCAGGUGGAUACGGCACCUCUGCUGGGGGAUGUGCUGCUCAGGUUCCAGCAGUGGCUGGAGGGGCUGGGGGCUUUUGGGGGGGCCAAGUCGCUACUGCCCGUCACGUGGACAGACUGGGACCUUAAGGUGAGAGCCGUCGUAAUGUUACCAUUACCCGGUACUAGCUUGACAUGACUGUUAAGUCCACCUUCCCAUUAUCAUAUGCCACGUUACACACGACCCUGGGGCCCUCGGAUCGCACUGGGCGGUUUGCAGGUAGGGGGUACGCAACCCCACGACCAUGUAACACACGCGCGCGCGCGUGUGUGUGCGUGUGUGUAUUUGUUACAUGUUGAUCUGGGCCUGACACUGGCCAGGAGCACCUAUCCGUACACCAACGGGAACGACCCCCGAAGCACUCUCCUCCUUGUGGGGGGAUAGUGGCAUGAGAGAAAAAAUGUGUGUGUGUGUGUGUCUCUGUCGUCGACCACCCAGCGUCCGCCACUGCCUCCCCACUUCACCGCGACCCUAGAUAUGUCUGGAGACGGAGUGCGGGUGGCGCCAGCUGCCGCGACCGCCGUACCUGCGCCGCUGGUGCAACCUGAAGCGAGUGUACGGCGCCCGCUACCGCCGCGCCAGUAGUCUGCAAAAGUGCGUCGAGGCGCUGGGUACGUGGGGAGCGUGGGGGGUGUUAAUGCGAGAUGGCGGUGGUGGGCGGGUCUCUAGUAUGUAUGUGCGUGCAACCCCCAGGUCUCCCCGGGGUGGCACGUGUGUUUUUCUUAUGGCUUCCGGAGCCGCGAUAAGGGAAGUGCUAAUCGUGGUUUACGAUUAACUUCAUACCGAAGCGCGAGCUCCGAAUAGUCACCAGCGACGUGUUAGGAUUUUCCGAUGUUAAUUGAGCAUAAAGCACCCCCUCUAUUGAAAUUCUAAGUAAGUGUUGGCUGGAGGAGUGAUGCCUGCCAAUGCCAGCAGUCGGAAUGGGCGGCGAUGUGAAACAAGAACAUCAAGAGAUGUCGGCAGAGCUGCAGCAGCAGCAGCAGCAGCAGCAGGAAGUAGCAGACUUUAGCAGUACCUAGCAAGGAUAGCUGAUCACGCGCCAAGGCACUGUGUAUGGGCACUGUAUGUUGUUACAGAGUGGUUAACUUCGCCAGCGGCCCCUUUCCCGGGCAGUCCCUGCUCUCCCCUGCUAGAGGGGCACCCUAAUCCGUCACCCCAUCCGACUUCAGAAUGUAUUCGUUGGGUUCGGCAACUCACCACCAGCAUCCAACCAAAUCCAGCGGAUCAACGGCGCAUCAACUUAGUUCCUGGUUAGCUCGCAAGAUGAUUUUAUCACGUCCUACAUCAUCCAUAUGAUGAGGGGCCACCACCCAUUUCAUCACUCCUCAAACACCCGAGGAGCCGGCAGGCGGAUAUGAACCCGGGUGGGCCGGGAGCAGAAGUCAGGCCUUAACCUCUGCCAGCCGCCUGCC